rnacentral:lncRNA from 1 species
GAGAGACGAGACUGCAAUUCUGCAAGGCUUGCAAGUUUAGCCUGCCAUUUGGUCGGCUAAUGCGACACACCGCGUGGCGGAUCAUUACCAUAUAUCCAUAAUAGUCAUAUGCAAAUGUUGUUUUUCGCGUCGUUACAUCGCGCCGUGGCAUAGCCCCCAUACGGCACCAAGGUGUACAGCAAGAAGAUUUGUCUCUUUGAAAUAGGGGGGUCCUUGUGAAGCAGCUGCCCGCGUUUCCAAUGCACAUAUGGUGUUGGAUUGUAAGGUGCCCAAGUACGUUUGCGAGGAAGAGAAUGUGGCCAGGUUGGAGAGGAAAGUGCAGUGGCAUAUUGGAAUGUGGGAUUAGCGUAAGCGAGUUACAGGGCGUUUUAUUGCACGGGCGAGUUUACGUGCAAAUCUUUCACCGUAGCAUCAGUCCUCAGUUCACUUCUUGGAACGAACAUCAGCAUAGGUGCAAGCCCUCUCGCUUGGGGGGAUAUGCAAACAAACAUCCUGAUAGGGGUAAACUCGCACGCUACCGAGCAUUCAACCGAGCACAUGCAUGCUUAGUUGAAUGGUGAGAUGCGACCCCCCCUUCAUUUCGUGCUCGGCAAGCCUGCCACCGCGUACCGGAUAUGUUGGCGAUGUUACAGAACGCUGCACCUUGGUUUCUGUGCGCAUUGCGUACGUUGCUCGACCCCGC